UGAGUCCCGGACGGGUGAGUAACGCGUGGGUAACCUGCCUCAUACAGGGGGAUAACAGUUAGAAAUGACUGCUAAUACCGCAUAAGCGCACAAAACCGCAUGGUUUGGUGUGAAAAACUGAGGUGGUAUGAGAUGGACCCGCGUCUGAUUAGCUAGUUGGAGAGGUAACGGCCCACCAAGGCAACGAUCAGUAGCCGACCUGAGAGGGUGACCGGCCACAUUGGGACUGAGACACGGCCCAAACUCCUACGGGAGGCAGCAGUGGGGAAUAUUGCACAAUGGGGGAAACCCUGAUGCAGCAACGCCGCGUGAGUGAAGAAGUAUUUCGGUAUGUAAAGCUCUAUCAGCAGGGAAGAAGAGAGACGGUACCUGACUAAGAAGCCCCGGCUAACUACGUGCCAGCAGCCGCGGUAAUACGUAGGGGGCAAGCGUUAUCCGGAUUUACUGGGUGUAAAGGGAGCGUAGACGGUUGCAUAAGUCUGAAGUGAAAGGCCAAGGCUUAACCAUGGAACCGCUUUGGAAACUAUGAGGCUAGGGUGCUGGAGAGGUAAGCGGAAUUCCUAGUGUAGCGGUGAAAUGCGUAGAUAUUAGGAGGAACACCAGUGGCGAAGGCGGCUUACUGGACAGAAACUGACGUUGAGGCUCGAAAGCGUGGGGAGCAA
rnacentral:rRNA from 1 species